ensembl:snRNA U6 U6 spliceosomal RNA
GUGAAAGCAGCACUUGAACUAAAAUUACAAUGAUACAAAGAAGAUUAAUGUGGCCCCUGCACCAGGAUGACAUGUAAAUUCGUGAAGCAUUCCAUAUUUUU